CCCUUAGAUGUUCUGGGCCGCACGCGCGCUACACUGACUACUUCAACGAGUUGUUUCCUUGAUCGAAAGGUCUGGGUAAUCUUUGAAAGGUAGUCGUGAUGGGGAUAGAUUCUUGCAAUUUUUGAUCUUCAACGAGGAAUUCCUAGUAAACGCAAGUCAUCAGCUUGCAUUGAUUACGUCCCUGCCCUUUGUACACACCGCCCGUCGCACCUACCGAUUGAAUGGUCCGGUGAAUCUUUAGGACUGUGGCUGAGGCCUUGCCUUGUGCGGGUCUGGCCGUGGGAAUUUAGUUAAACCUUACCAUUUAGAGGAAGGUGAAGUCGUAACA
rnacentral:rRNA from 1 species